rnacentral:SRP_RNA from 1 species
GCCGGGUGUGGUGGCGGGCGCCUGUAAUCCCAGCUACUCGGGAGGCUGAGGCAGGAGAAUCGCUUGAACCCAGGAGGCAGAGGGUGCAGUGAGCCGAGAUUGUACCACUGAACUCCAGCCUGGGUGACAGAGUGAGACUCAGUCUCAA